AACGAACGCUGGCGGCAUGCCUAACACAUGCAAGUCGAACGAGACCUUCGGGUCUAGUGGCGAACGGGUGCGUAACGCGUGGGAACCUGCCCUUAGGUUCGGAAUAACUCCCCGCAAGGGGUGCUAAUACCGGAUAAUGUCUUCGGACCAAAGAUUUAUCGCCUUUGGAUGGGCCGGCGUUGGAUUAGCUAGUUGGUAGGGUAAAAGCCUACCAAGGCGACGAUCCAUAGCUGGUCUGAGAGGAUGAUCAGCCACACUGGGACUGAGACACGGCCCAGACUCCUACGGGAGGCAGCAGUGGGGAAUAUUGGACAAUGGGGGAAAGCCUGAUCCAGCAAUGCCGCGUGAGUGAUGAAGGCCUUAGGGUUGUAAAGCUCUUUUACCCGGGAUGAUAAUGACAGUACCGGGAGAAUAAGCUCCGGCUAACUCCGUG
rnacentral:rRNA from 1 species